CUUCCAGUGUGGAGUCAGCUUAUGCUUACAAGAAUGGAACUGCUGCAACUGGCUACUACUACAUGAAUAACUUUGAUAACAUAUUUGUAUCUGGCGUGACUCUGUUUGAGCUUACAGUUGUGAAUAACUGGUUUAUCAUAAUGGAAGGCUACGCUAAUGCUGUCAGUCAAUGGACUAGGAUUUAUUUUAUGAGCUUUUACAUUGUUAUGAUGGU
rnacentral:sRNA from 1 species